rnacentral:miRNA from 1 species
AGUGGAGCUGCUGGUUUAUAUGGUAAUUCCUCACUUAACUCUUGGAGGACCAAUGAAGUUGGUUUUAACAGCAGCUGUACCAUUUGC